AUGUGAUCUGCCUGCCUUGGCCUCCCAAAGUGCUGGGAUUACAGGUGCCUGAAAUAGACCCAAGUGGAUAUAAAUGUCUGAACUCAGUUCUGGACGAGAGAUACAGAUUUGGAAUGCACCAACAUGCAGAUGGUAAUACCCCAUAUGAGUAGAUAAGAUCACCCAGGGAGAUGGCCUGUAAUGACAGCCUAUAACAUGUCAGAUCUCCAGUCUCUCAAGAUCUCCAACCUGACCAGUGAUAACCUCAUUCAUGGAUAAAAUGGACUCUACCCAGUUUGAACUUCACACAUGGUUUGUGUGCGUGUAGGGCCCUUUUAUGUCUCUCAGAUCCUGCUGACCCUCUAUUCUCACUGUGCCAGACCAUGACCCUCCAGCUCACUUCUUUCCUCUAUUGGCAGGGAAGACACUUAUGGGAUAGAACAAGUUCUCCCAGGACAAAUAUACAUAGUAUGAUUGUGGCUACCAGGAGAUUUUUUUCCCCCGAUUUUAUUGCAUCUCUACCCUUGUAAAAAACACAUUCAUUUGAUCAUUUGACCACCCCUAACUACCACCUUAUUUAUUAUCUUCUACUUAUUGCCAAAACUCCCCUAGCCUCCGUCCUUGCCAUCCCUCUCUCUCAAUGCACACAUAUACAGAUUUCCCAGCUCUUUCAUUUUCAUCAAUGGCACCAUCACUGUUCCAAUUUCUUAUACCACAAGUCAUAUCUCCUUCCUUCAUGCUUAUAUAUAACUAGUUGCUCAUUAUUAAAUUAAUUUUUUUUCUCCUUCAGUCUAUUCCUCUCUCUAGCCAGUAUAUAAUUUUUCAGCUUAUUCCUGACUUGCUGUAACAGCUUUCUAGUUGAACUCUGUGGUUCUAAUUUCUACCCACUUACCUUGUAGCUUACAUUCAGACUUCUUUCCUAAAACUGUGUGUUUGUUACACACUGCAGUGGCUACCUUUUUUUCUAGCCAUAUCAAAUCCAAAAUGUACUGCUUAGUUUUAUAAUCCUGACUCAAAAAGCUUCUAUUUGUUCAUUCUCUUUUGUUUCAUUCCUAAUCAUUGUGAACCUUCUAACUCUGGUCAAGCUAGCCAUCAUCACUGUUCCAAGAAAAUGCUUACCUCGUGGUGCUCCUGGAAUAUCUUUAUCCUUUCUCCUUUCUAAAUCCCACCCACAUUUUAAGACCAAGUUUAAGUCUCAUUCCUCCAUUAACAGUGGAGAUGUACAACUUCUGUUCUGACCAGUCUUCUCUGCUGAACACUGACAGUUCAUGCACUAAAUAAUUCAGGACUAAAUACUUUCUUGUAGUGAUCACUAUUGCUUCAUGAGACUAUGACCAUUCCUUAAUGGCAAGAAUCACAUUUUAUACUUCUAUCACUCUCUUUCUGCCUCACAAAGGGCAAAAGCCCUAGUAUAAUAAUUACCCAUUAUCCAUCUGCCUAAAAUGUAACAUAAUUUCACUGCAUUAUUUUACCAACACCAUACUUGAAUCUAACGAAACACAUGCAUCUAAUGCAGUCUUCUUAUAUUGACUGAAGGCCUAAUGCAGGUAAUUUCUCUACCUAAACCAAAUGCUACAGGUGUGUUUUCUCUAGUGGUUGUCUGCACUGCAGCCAUUUUGUUCCUAUUACUGCCUAUUUUUAAAAUAAGAAUUCAGUAUAUAUCUGAGAUCAUUUUUUUCUUUAUUCACCCAAGUGGGAGAAGUAAGCAUGAACAGGGAACUCUUCCCUCAUAUAUUCCACUGGCAUACCUAUAGAACUCCUCUACAAAGGCAGUUUCCUAAUUAAAGAAAGAAUCAAAGAAUCAAAUAAUGACUGAAGGGGCGACUUCCUCUUGAAGAAAUAUUU